CAUCUCUAUUAAAAACAAAUACAUAAAUUAGCCAGCUGUGGUGGUGUGCACCUGUAAUCCCAGCUACUCAGGAGGCUGAGUCAGGAGAAUCACUUGAAUCUAGGAGACAGAGGCUGCAGUGAGCUGAGAUCAUGCCACUGCACUCCAGCGUGGGUGGCAAAACGAGAUCCUGUUUCAAAAAACAACAACAAAAAAAAGCAAAGAAAAAUUAAUAUGUAAAUAAAUGAUCUGUUUUAGAAAUAAACAGACACUAGAACAUGAAUGUUAAGUGAGAAGAUCAAAACAUGGAAGGAGGGAGGAAGACAUGUAAGAAUCUAGAGUUUGAAUUAAGAAAAUGAGAGUGGGAUGUGAAGGUGAUCGAUCUGGCUGCGACAUCUGUCACCCAUUGAUCGCCAGGGUAGAUUUGGCUAAUCUGGCUGGCUGGGGGGGUGUCCCUCUCCUCCCCCACCACUCCAUGUGUGUCCCUUCCCAAAGCUGCGCGCUCGGCCAAACAGGAUGACCAUCCCUGAUAGAGGAGGACUGGUCUUCGGUCAAGGGUAUACGAGUAGCUGCACUGCCCUGCUAGAACCUCCAAACAAGCUCUCAAGAAAAUGAGAGUGAAGUUUUAG
rnacentral:lncRNA from 10 species